rnacentral:rRNA from 1 species
UACGUAAAAGACUAGUGUUAUUCAUCUUUAAUGGGUUUAUAGGGUACCUAGACCGAAAACCAAGCCUUAAUCGGGACUAGUUUUCUAGAGUUUUAUGUGAGAAAGUUGAAUGAUCAGAGUAGAGUCAAAAUUCGUUAAUACUGGUAAGACGGACCACGGCGAAGGCUGUUUUCUAUGUAAAAACUGACGUUGAGGUACGAAGCCCAGGGUAGCAAGAAGG